UAACACCAAUCAUAGUCAAACUAUCACAAACUGUUUGACUUGAAAAAAUACAAAACAUAUUUUUUUUAAAGAGCCGUUUGGGAGCCAAAAGAGCCGGUUCUUUUUGUUGAGCUGAGCCGAACGAGUCGGCUCACUGAAAAGAGACGGAAUGUCCGUCACUAAUUUGACAUGUGACUACAGCUUGUAUUGAAUUGUGGGUAGUAUCAACCCCGCAAAUGACCAUGUUGUUCACUUGUUCCCUCGAGCUAAAUCUAGGGCCGAGGGGCAACGUUAGAGCAGGUAGCCUAAUGGUAAGAGCGUUGGACUAGUAACCGAAGGUUGGAAGAUCGAAAGCCCCAGCUGACAAGGUACACAUCUGUCGUUCUGCCCGUGAAAAAGGCAGUUAAACCCACUGUCAUUGAAAAUAAGUAUUUGUUCUUAACGGAUUUGCCUAGGUAAAUAAUAAUAAUGCACAAUGGCAGCACAUUCUGAUUUCACCCCAGAACGGUAGGUGUCAGUAAUGCCCAUUGCCUGUCUUGAAAAUAAAGUAUUCUACCUUUGACAACAAUGCUACAAAAAUUAUCCAGAGGCUCAGAAAUCUUUUAAUCGGGGGUAAGCCACAGCUAGAUCUCAUCACAUUGUGUAUUUAGUGCAAGUGUCACUUAUUUCAAGUUGCCAACACAUUUGAAGAGUUUGCAGCCUGUCGAACUGCCUAAGGACACAGCUAACGUUAGCUAGCCAGGUGGCUUGUUACUAUAGUUUGCUGACAUUGUAUGUUGGAAAUGAAAGACUCUUUAAAAGCAAGUUAUUACUCUUAAUUCACCUUAUCAAAUGUCCACAGCAUGAUCUGCAAGCAAAGCUACAGUUGUGUUACGGUGAGAUUGCAAAGAGGACCCUACCAAAACCCAAACUUCCUGUUGGGCCCAGCCACAAGUUUGCCUUCAAUUACUAUAAAGGCAGAGAUGGGCGUAGAGAGUCUGCACCAGCAAUGGUUGUGAUGUCGUGUCAAAAGGCCUUGACUGCUUGCUAGGUGGUACAUAAUAAAGGCUAUGACAGUGGAACAACUGUUGGGAUUCCUUCUCUGGCAAACUGGGUGGAACCAAGUCCUGGAGGUGCCAGCAAAGCGUCCAGUCACACCUGGAAAUGUUCUCAGUGAGCUAACGCUGUCUACAGAUCAGCCAUACCCCUGAACAACAUUGUUUUUUUCCUGACUUAUUGUAGGUCUAACAGCAGAGCACGAUGUUGCUAUCACUAUUGUUCAAAUCUUGUAAAAUAUUAAAUUGUUAAUAAAUUA